GUUGUUGCUUUGGCUACUGGUCUGUUCUUUCAUUUUGGGCUUAUAGUGCUUUAAAAUUCAAUAUAUUGGAUAUUAAAUGCAUGUGAUUAGGAAACAGUCUUGAAAUAUGCCCAGAGUUACUCAGUAGCUUCUUUUUUAUAAUUUUAAUUGUGGUGGUCUCACAUUUGUGGGUUUAAAUUGUCUGAGUUAUUGAGUGUUGUAUUUUGUAGCCCCCUUCUUUAAUUUUCAGAAGCACUGUCCAUUUCAUUUCGGUUUAUAAAAAUGCACAUCUUUUGUUUAUUGUUAUGAUUUAUCCAUGUGUGUUUUCUAGCCAAUAAACUGUGUCUUGCAGUCAU
ensembl:lncRNA novel transcript, sense intronic to CREM